rnacentral:tRNA from 1 species
GGUUAUAGCUCAGUGGUAGAGUGCUUUCCUGGCAUGCGUGAGGCACUGGGUUUGAUCCUCAGCACCA